UAAAACACUCUUUGUGCUAAGGGAUA
rnacentral:piRNA from 1 species